GUCCUCCCAAUUCUUACCAUAGUCUAUGUUCUUUACACUGACUGUAUAGAAAGAGGAGGUAGAGUAUAUACACACCAUAUACACCUCAACCCAGGCUCUUUGCCUGGUCUGUAUUGUGAAUUGGGGGACAAAA